CGCCUCCCUCUCUGUUGGAGGGUGGGUAGCUGGUUUUGUUGCUAGCGCUGGGCUCUCCAGGGCUAUUCGCCCGUUCUGGUUCAAUCCGGUGCCAUCGCCUUUGUUUUGAGACUGAGCCUGAGGACGCGAAGCAGAGGAGCAGGCCCCAAACUGAGAGGACUGAGGACGGCGUGCCGAUGGGUCUCAGGGUGCGAUCUUUGGACCUGGAAGAAAGCGGGAGGGACGAGACGCCGUGCGGUGGAAAUCCUGAAGACAAAGUCGAGCUACAAACGAGGGACUUGAGAGGCCUGCGGCUUUCUGAGGCGGAGAAGACAUAGGAGCUGUGGGCUGCAGCUCACCGAAACGAUUCCAGAUCCAUGGGCCUAGCGAGGUUUCUGCUUUCUGCUGUUGUGUUCACUUUUGCCCAGAUUCUAGCCAAAAAUAUUCAUCUCAAGGUAUCACUUGCCCUUAUGCUACGCUUCUAUCUUAAUCCGAGUGACGCUAACAGAGCUUUUGCUUACCUUUUCUUAAGGCAUGUACUCUUGAGAGUAGUCCGUGAACUUGAAGUUGGUUGGGGGGGGGGUCGGGGGAGGGGAUGCGAGGCAAAUGCUGGCUUGGUUUGAGAAGAUAGGACCUGAGUUUAAGUAGGGUCAGUUGAUGAGACUAUUAUUAGAUGCUUUUCUAAUAAUGUUCGACCAGUUAAUACCUAAUUGAGAUAAAAACAAAACUUUUCAGUUGUCUUUAAGGAGAAAAUUGGUUGCCUUUUUUGUUGCAAUAGUUUUCUUGAGAUCAUUUUCCACAAAACUGAUUUAAAAUGUACAAUUCAGUGGUUUGAACAAAUGCACAUAGUUGUGCAGCUAUCACCGUGGUUAAUUUUAGAGCAUUUUUACCACCCCAAAAGGAAAAUCCCUUCUUACUAGCUGUCUCCUUUCAUCCUCCCUCACUCCAGUCCCCAGAAACCACCGGUUUACUUUCUGUAAUUUGCUUAUUAGGUACAGUUCAUGUAAACCAUAAUAUGUUAUCUUUUGUGAACAUCUUUGAUUUGGCAGAAUGUUUUCAGGGUUCUUGGUAUAGCAAGUUUUCAGUGUGUAAUUCCUGUACCUGAUGUCAUAUUCCAUUGUGGGGGCUUACCACAUUAUAAUUAUCCGUUUAUCAGUUGGUAGACAUUUAGGUGGUUAACAAUUUUUGCUUUCUUAAAAGAUUUAUUUUUAUUUGAGAGGCAGAGUUAGAGACAGAGGGAGAGACAGAGCUUCCAUCCGCUGGUUCCAGUAUCAACUCAUUUUCACAAGUGUGAAGUGAAGUGGUAACUUACUGUGAUAUUUGCCUUUUUAAGUCCUCAAAAGUCACUAAGGAACCUGUUGGAGGGUGUACCUUGAAUACAGAGACAAUGUCUAUAGUGAGUUUGAGUCUCUGGCACAUGUGUUUUGCUGUGCCACAAGUGUUUCUGAAAAAAACUUACUGAAAGUGGGAACGCUUAUGGGAAAAAUCAUUAUGGGGUAGACUGAUCAAAACCUAUGCAAAUUGAUGAUUACCAAAAUUAAAAGAAACAGCGAUUAGUACCUGAGGGGUACUUUUAUCCCUCCCCCCCUUCCAUUGAAGAUGACUUUAAAUGGAGACUGCCAUAGCCGACAUUACAGAGCUGGGCUGAUGGAUGUGAGAUGCUACAGAUGGAACUGAGAGUCCGGGCUGCUGGACUGCUGUUAAAAUGGAUUCAGAAGUAGUCAGACCUGCUGGGAGCCUGGAGGGGAGUGGAAUGUGGCCACCAUCUGCCAUUCCCUUAACACAGGAGUUGUGAGUGUUGCUGCCAGCUCAGCCUCUGGAGUGAUGACAGUUUUUUAUUUCCUGCUUAAUUGGGUUCCAGUUACUUUUGUUCUCCUAGAAAAGAUAAAACAGUGUGGUUCUCACAUUAUUCUGACAACAUGCUCCUAAUGAUUAAUUGCAAAGGAGUUACUGAAAAUGGUUUUUUAACAUAACAGACACCAUAGACUGAUUGAAUGAAAACAAAUCACUCACUUUUAUAGAAGCCACAGGAGGUCACUGCACGAAAUAUUCUUGGUGUACAUCUGGGUAAGGAGUAUUCAGUCCCUUGUGGAACCAUUUGAGUUGUGUAUCAUUACAUUUGUUUCUAAUUUCUAUAUGCUUUCCGUUACUAUUGUUUAAUUUGUUUUACUGGUGACCUUGACGUGAUCCUUUGGUUACAGUGUUGCUUUAGUAGCUUCAUAUCCGGUGAUUAAACCUUUUCACUGCUGUUCACAUAAUGAACCGCUGUGAUUAUCAAAAACUUAAAUGAGGAUAUGUAAGAAGUCAUAAACAUAAUUGUGAUUCACAAAAGGCGUUGACAACUGUAAUUGUUUAAAAAUCUCUUUUCAGGAGCUGUUCUCUUGGAGAUGUUGAUCUUGGAAGAUAAUUAUUGGAAAUAUGUGGGAAAGAGAGAGGCCUCAUCGAUCUGUUCACUCAUCAAACACUCAGGAUGGCCAGGGCUGGGCCAGGCUGAAGCCAGGAGUCUGGAACUCCAUCCAGGUCUCCCAUGUGGUUGGCAGGGACACAGCUACUUGAACCAUCACCUGCUGCCUCCCAGGGCAUGCAUUAGCAGGAAGCUGGAAUCUAUAGCGGAUCUUGGACUUGAACCCAGACAUUCUGUUAUGCAAGGAAUUAAAUCGAAGAGUGUUUUAGAGAACAUCAUUUGUCAGAUUUAUUUGAUCAAGAAUUUGAAGACUUAUAUAGUAAAGAACUUUACUGCUGGAGACCUCAAGGUUGUUGAAAGGAGGGGAGGAGGCCUAAUUCUCAAAAGAAUGUCUUUAGACCACCUGCAAAUCCCAAUCUGAAGAAUUCUGCAUUAAAUUAUCUCUAAAUACUUGUUCUAGCUCCAGUGAGUAGUUCAGUCCUAAAAGUAACAUUCUUUCAGAAAAGCUUCGUUUUCAUUUGAUCUAGGACUAAGCUUGGUUAGUAGUUAACUGACUACUGUGUUAUUGAGUUCCUGUCACGUACAGGAGUCCUUGCUUUGCACAGUUGCAGUAUGUUAUUAGUUAUAUCAGUUCAGUAAAUGAUAUGAAUCCCCCAACAUGGUUAACGUUUCAGUUUCACAAUAUGAGCUGAGAAUAGGUGCAUAAACUUUGUUAUUAGCCAUUCAUAUCAUUAUGCAAAUAAGAUAUGUGAACUCAGUAACAGAGCAUGUUACUUGGUUCACACAGCACAGCAAAGUACAUAGUGUGUUGCUUCCUUGUUUUCCAGAGGUUAAAUUUAUGUGACAGUUGCGCAUCAAAAGAGAAUUGGUCAACAAAAAUGGCAGGUUAGCAAAGAAAAAGUGAUAGCUGGAAGUGAACUUGGAUGUGAUUAGAAAGAUGUGAACAUAAUGACAGCAAAACAAAGAUAAGCCAAGGAUUAGGCCUACAUGAAACUACAGUAUGAAUUGCUGAAAAAGUCAGAUGAAUGUAAAAAGAAGAGUUAGGGGCCUGCGCUGUGGCACAGCAGAUUCACCCUGGCCUGAAGCUCUGGCAUCCCAUAUGGGUGCCGGUUCUAGUCCCGGCUGCUCCUCUUCUGAUCCAGCUCUCUGCUGUGGCCUGGGAAAGCAGUAGAUGGCCCAAGUGCUUGGGCCCCUGCACCCGCAUGAGAGACCCGGAAGAAGCUCCUGGCUCCUGGCUUCGGAUCGCCACAGCUCCGGCUGUUGUGGCCAGUUGGGGAGUGGACCAUCAGAUGGAAGACUCUCUUUCUCUGCCUUUCCUCUCUGUAACUCUUUCAAAUAAAAUAAAUAAAUCUUAAAAAAAAAAAAAAAGGUUAAAGCUGGUUCAACAUCUUGUUUAAAUUGCACUAGGAAUAGAAAGUCACUUUUGGUUGAAAUGGAAUGCUUAUUUUUAUGUUGGCUUGAACUAAUUAAAGCAAGAUUCAAUCAGUUUAGCUAACAUUCAGACCAAAACUUUCAUGUUAGUUGCUACAUUGAAAGAAAAUGUUGGUAAAUAUAAGACUGAAAAAUAACAUUUUCCUGCCACUAGAAGCUGAUAUCAUCAGAGGUCAGCAUGGACUGAUAAUGUUCAGCUUUCUGGUGCAGCUGCAAGCUCAGGUCAAGAUGUUCCCAUGAAAUUUGCACUGUGAUUCCAGAAUCACAGGCUGUCCUGCUUUGCCAGUAGUCUGAGAUCAUCCUGCAGGUACAGAGGGAACGUAGUAGAAGAUGGAGCUGUCUAUGAGAAUGUUAGCACGCUGCUAUUAAAGAGGCAGCCGUAGUUCUGUAGCCGGGGAAACUUGUUGAAGGUGAACCUGUAGGCAUAAAUGAGGAAAGUGAUUGGGAUGCAAAGCAUGAGUAUGUCUUAGGAAGUGAUGUCAACCGAAAACUUGGUAUUUAAGAAACUCUCAGAGGUAUUUCUUGACACGGAAAGUGCAAAGGAUAACAUUUUGGAAACUGACCAAACUUGGAAAGGCAUAGAGCUGUUUUGCCAGGACAUAGAAAAGAUGGCAAGUAAUGAGAGUUUUUAAUCUUUUGACAAAUAUUAAAGUUUGAACAAUCUUAAAUUUUCCCAUUGAGUAAGAAUGCAUUGCAGUUUAUCCUUGCAUGGUCAAAGCCAGGACUGCUAGCGAGUCUACAAACAGCUAUGUUUUAUCCUUGGAAUUAGUUACAAUUUUAUAUUUCCUUUGCAGAUUGUCUUUGUAUGCUGCUAUAUCAAAGCUCUGAAAUAAAACUUCAUGGUAUUGAA